UACGUAGGGUGCAAGCGUUGUCCGGAAUUAUUGGGCGUAAAGAGCUCGUAGGCGGUUUGUCGCGUCUGCUGUGAAAACUCAGGGCUUAACUCUGAGCUUGCAGUGGGUACGGGCAGACUUGAGUGCGGUAGGGGAGACUGGAAUUCCUGGUGUAGCGGUGAAAUGCGCAGAUAUCAGGAGGAACACCGGUGGCGAAGGCGGGUCUCUGGGCCGUAACUGACGCUGAGGAGCGAAAGCGUGGGGAGCGAACAGG
rnacentral:rRNA from 1 species